rnacentral:tRNA from 1 species
GGGCGGUUAGCUCCGUGGUAGAGCAUCUCGAUUACACCGAGAGGGUCGGCGGUUCGAGACCGUCACCGCCCACCA